UACGUAGGGGCGCAAGCGUUGUCCGGAAUUAUUGGGCGUAAAGAGCUCGUAGGCGGUUUGUCGCGUCUGCUGUGAAAACCUCAGGCUCAACCUGGGGCUUGCAGUGGGUACGGGCAGACUAGAGUGCGGUAGGGGUGACUGGAAUUCCUGGUGUAGCGGUGGAAUGCGCAGAUAUCAGGAGGAACACCGAUGGCGAAGGCAGGUCACUGGGCCGCAACUGACGCUGGAG
rnacentral:rRNA from 1 species